AGAGUUUGAUCCUGGCUCAGGAUGAACGCUGGCGGCGUGCUUAACACAUGCAAGUCGAACGAUCCUUCGGGAUAGUGGCGGACGGGUGAGUAACGCGUGGGAAUCUGCCCUCAGGAGGGGGAUAACGGCUGGAAACGGCCGCUAAUACCCCAUAUGCCGAGAGGUGAAACGAAUUUCGCCUGAGGAUGAGCCCGCGUCUGAUUAGCUAGUUGGUGGGGUAAAGGCCCACCAAGGCGACGAUCAGUAGCUGGUCUGAGAGGAUGAUCAGCCACACUGGGACUGAGACACGGCCCAGACUCCUACGGGGGGCAGCAGUGGGGAAUUUUCCGCAAUGGGCGAAAGCCUGACGGAGCAACGCCGCGUGAGGGAUGAAGGCCUCUGGGCUGUAAACCUCUUUUCUCAAGGAAGAAGACCUGACGGUACUUGAGGAAUAAGCCACGGCUAAUUCCGUGCCAGCAGCCGCGGUAAUACGGGAGUGGCAAGCGUUAUCCGGAAUUAUUGGGCGUAAAGCGUCCGCAGGCGGCCUUGUAAGUCUGUUGUUAAAGCGUGGAGCUUAACUCCAUUUAAGCAAUGGAAACUACAAGGCUGGAGUGUGGUAGGGGCAGAGGGAAUUCCCGGUGUAGCGGUGAAAUGCGUAGAUAUCGGGAAGAACACCAGUGGCGAAGGCGCUCUGCUGGGCCAUAACUGACGCUCAUGGACGAAAGCCAGGGGAGCGAAAGGGAUUAGAUACCCCUGUAGUCCUGGCCGUAAACGAUGAACACUAGGUGUCGGGGGAAUCGACCCCCUCGGUGUCGUAGCCAACGCGUUAAGUGUUCCGCCCGGGGAGUACGCACGCAAGUGUGAAACUCAAAGGAAUUGACGGGGGCCCGCACAAGCGGUGGAGUAUGUGGUUUAAUUCGAUGCAACGCGAAGAACCUUACCAGGGUUUGACAUCCUGCGAACCCCUGAGAAAUCGGGGGGUGCCUUCGGGAGCGCAGAGACAGGUGGUGCAUGGCUGUCGUCAGCUCGUGUCGUGAGAUGUUGGGUUAAGUCCCGCAACGAGCGCAACCCACGUCUUUAGUUGCCAGCAUUCAGUUGGGCACUCUAGAGAGACCGCCGGUGAUAAACCGGAGGAAGGUGUGGAUGACGUCAAGUCAUCAUGCCCCUUACAUCCUGGGCUACACACGUACUACAAUGCUACGGACAAAGGGCAGCAAGCUCGCGAGAGUUAGCAAAUCCCAUAAACCGUGGCUCAGUUCAGAUCGUAGGCUGCAACUCGCCUACGUGAAGGAGGAAUCGCUAGUAAUCGCAGGUCAGCAUACUGCGGUGAAUACGUUCCCGGGCCUUGUACACACCGCCCGUCACACCAUGGAAGUUGGCCAUGCCCGAAGUCGUUACUCCAACCCUUGUGGAGGAGGACGCCGAAGGUGGGGCUGAUGACUGGGGUGAAGUCGUAACAAGGUA
rnacentral:rRNA from 1 species